rnacentral:rRNA from 1 species
GACGAACGCUGGCGGCGUGCUUAACACAUGCAAGUCGAACGGAAAGGCCCUGCUUUUGUGGGGUGCUCGAGUGGCGAACGGGUGAGUAACACGUGAGUAACCUGCCCUUGACUCUGGGAUAACUUCAGGAAACUGGGGCUAAUACCGGAUAGGAGCUCCUGCUGCAUGGUGGGGGUUGGAAAGUUUCGGCGGUUGGGGAUGGACUCGCGGCUUAUCAGCUUGUUGGUGGGGUAGUGGCUUACCAAGGCUUUGACGGGUAGCCGGCCUGAGAGGGUGACCGGCCACAUUGGGACUGAGAUACGGCCCAGACGCCUACGGGAGGCAGCAGUGGGGAAUAUUGCACAAUGGGCGGAAGCCUGAUGCAGCAACGCCGCGUGCGGGAUGACGGCCUUCGGGUUGUAAACCGCUUUCGCCUGUGACGAAGCGUGAGUGACGGUAAUGGGGAAAGAAGCACCGGCUAACUACGU